GCCUUAGUAGUAUAAAUAUUAUACUGGUCUUGUAAACCAGAGAUGGAGACCUACAUCUCCCUAAGACA
rnacentral:tRNA from 1 species